AAGUGAGCUAGUUGCACAAAUCUUUUUGAAACAUGCAAGUUUAGAUUGGUCUUCAAACUUGUGGAGCGUUAUAUUUUGGAUCUAGAACAAGUUCUCCCCAUCUAAAAUCUCGGCCUUCAAGGUAUAAUUGAAUAUUAUUUAAAAAUAGAAUAAACUUGAAAGCUGAGAUCCUUGUUAUUCACUUCCCAAAUCAUUAGAGGCAUUACCAAGUCAAAUCUUCCACGUGGCAAUGUCCAAUAUGAAUGUGCUGAAUAGGUGUCACGUAGGCUUUCAUUUCUUAAUCCAUGUUGCUCAAGCUUGACAUGCGCACAUAAACCUAGUAUCGAUAUGGUGCUCCCGAAUGUAUCUGAUGUUUAGAUGAGAGUAAAAAUGUAUGAAACAUGUAAUAUAAUUAUAAGAAUAUCAGUUUGUGGAGAG